rnacentral:rRNA from 1 species
ACACAUGCAAGUCGAACGAUUGAAGCUGGAGCUUGCUCCGGCCGAUUUAGUGGCGGACGGGUGAGUAACGCGUGGGUAACCUGCCUCAUACAGGGGGAUAGCAGUUGGAAACGACUGGUAAAACCGCAUAAGCGCACGGUGUUGCAUGACACAGUGUGAAAACACUCCGGUGGUAUGAGAUGGACCCGCGUCUGAUUAGCUAGUUGGUGAGGUAACGGCCCACCAAGGCGACGAUCAGUAGCCGGCCUGAGAGGGUGAACGGCCACAUUGGGACUGAGACACGGCCCAAACUCCUACGGGAGGCAGCAGUGGGGAAUAUUGCACAAUGGGGGAAACCCUGAUGCAGCGACGCCGCGUGAGUGAUGAAGUAUUUCGGUAUGUAAAGCUCUAUCAGCAGGGAAGAUAAUGACGGUACCUGACUAAGAAGCACCGGCUAAAUACGUGCCAGCAGCCGCGGUAAUACGUAUGGUGCAAGCGUUAUCCGGAUUUACUGGGUGUAAAGGGUGCGUAGGUGGCAAGGCAAGUCUGAAGCGAAAAUCCGGGGCUCAACCCCGGAACUGCUUUGGAAACUGUUUAGCUGGAGUACAGGAGAGGUAAGUGGAAUUCCUAGUGUAGCGGUGAAAUGCGUAGAUAUU